GUGGAGGUAAGAUACAGAAAAACAAUAUGGCGUCCAAACAGGACCCCACGAGCACAACUGAUCCAAUAAACAAGAGUUACCUUGGGAAACGGAGGCAUUCUGACUCAGAGGAAAGACUUACAGGAGAAUCAUCGGACAACAAUUCUCCUCCACGUUUGUUUACAGUGAACAGGACGUCGAGUGAGAGUUCUGAGAUUCAGUCUCAGACUUCAUCAAACGCGAGACCCAUCAACCAUAUUCCAAAGGAGACAAGAGACUGGACAGAAGAAACUAUUUUCAAUAAUCUGCAAAUUAAAGACAUGCUAAGCCCAUCUCCCGUCGAUGUUUUCAAUACGGGAUAUGUUGACUCUUUCUUGAAAAACCAUGUAAAAAUUAGAGAUUACAUGUUAAAGGCCAACAACCAGGUCCAGGACCAAAAGCACAGAUCAAAGUACGACUGCUAUGCAUUUGCACUUAACGAGGCAUUUGAUGUAGACUGCAGUGUUCUUAGUGAUUUAACAAUUUCUAAAGCAUUGCAGUUAACUGAAGAGUUCAAAAAACCAUUUCAGGAAUCAUGUUUUGCCAAGUGGCUGUUUGAAUACAAUCUAAAUUUCAUACAAUUGGAAAAAGACAAAAUUAAGGACAUGAGAAAUAUCUGCCAAAACAUAUAUCCAAGAUUACAGCAAUUUUGUGGUCAGCUUCUAUUUAUGGUGGAGCGUACACAUAGGCAGAAUUCAGAUAACCUGACACAGGCUAUGUAUCAAGAAUUAUUUGUGACCUUUUUGAGAAUAUUUGGUGUUACUGUUUUAGAUGUUCCAAAUCUGCCUGCUUAUCAUCUGACAAUUGGGGACAGGGUAGUAACUUCAAUACCUGAUGCUGUUGUUUGUAGCUAUGUUAGGAAUGGUGAAGAAGUAGAGGAGAAAGUUAUUGCUGUUGUAGAGGUAAAGAAAGACUACCCCAGACCAGACUCAAAUCUGGAAAUUGUGAGGCAGACCAGAAAUUCUGAAAGGAAGACAUCAGCUAUUAAGCAUAUUGAUUCUGGACUAAAAGGCCAGCAUGCUGGAGAAAUGUUAGCAGUUAUUCCUUCAUCUGUAUUUGGUUCUAAUGGAAUAUAUGGAAUCAUAGUACAGGGAACAAUGAUCACAUUUGUAUCCCUGGCAACAAGUCAAGAAUAUUGUAAUAACCUUAGUGAAGGGAAAAUGAAGAAUUGUCAUGCUACAAUAAAGUACAGCAAUGCAGUUAAUAUGCUGUCUACGGAGGGAAGAAAAGAACUUGUCAGUACCUUCCUUGGAAUGUCAACUUUACUUGAUUGUAUGUCACAGGAAAUAAUGAACUAGGUAAGCACUGAUUCACUUAAAACUGAGACCAAGAAUAGUCAAGUCUGUUCACAGCAACCUGAUCAUACUAAAAGGUUUGUUUGUCCAAAAGAUGAUCAUUCGAACUCUCAGCACGAUAGUGGAUAUGAUCAGGGUCUGGACUUUGAUUCAAUUACAAGUGCCAAUCAGGAUACACAUGGUUUCAACACUGAGUCUCUAGGAAUAAAUAGAUUAAAUGAGUAUAGUGCUCUACUGACAAACAAUAGUGAUGGGUAUGAAUCAAUGGAUGGAUCUACUACAAACAGCCAAGGUGCUUUCCUUCUAUCGUCUACAAUGAGAAGAAUGUUACCUGCUGCCAGAUCUACUAUGAAAAAUACUGUGGGGACAAUGAUUAAAUCUGUGAUCCAUUUACAGAAAUGUGACCAAAGUUUUAUUUGAUAUUGUUUUAUACAUUGUUUGUGUUCCAUAAAAACUCAUCGAAGAAACCAGGUUUAUACUUUUGUACGCCAGACACAUGUUUCAUCUUCAUAAAACUUAUCAGUUACGCUUGAAACAAAACAGUCGAAAAGACAAUUCAGAUACAAAGUUAAAAAGCAUCAAAAACCGAAAAUUCGAAAAAAAAGUUAUGCAAAAUAAAGCUAAGGCAAUUUUAACCUAGGGGUAGAAAAAUCUUUUCGAAUGACUCAACAUUUCCUGAAUAGUAAAUUUACAGAAAAUGAUAUUUCAUGGCAACACAAAAGUGGUGACUACUGGUCUGGUGAUACCCCCCGAGGAUAAAAUGUCUGCCAGCAGUUGCUUCAACCCAUAGUUGUAAAAUCUAUGUACAGAAAUGUGACCAAAGUUUUAUUUGAAUAAAUUAUAUAUUUAUUGUUUAA